ACCGAGGCCGCCUCUUCGUCCACAGCCUGACGCCAGCCACCGCCGCCGCCGUCUCCACUGCCGCACGCACGCCGCCACUUCCGCUUCCGUCCGUGCUGCGGCCCCGCACGUGACGCAGCGCCUUCUCGCGCCCAGACUGAAGCACCGCCCCCCCUUAAAGGGGCCGCGGACUAGAGCUAGCUGGAUGCAGCUUGGGAUCCCGGCCUCGCCACCGCCUGGUCGCGCGACACAGGCUGAACCCUGCCCAACCCUAAGGGGAGACCCUCGGGGCCCAAGCACCUGCCACCGCCCUCUGCUGGACCCCAGCUUCGCCAUCUACGAAGGAAGCGGCCUGUCCGAGCUCUGAGGUCCGUCAAGCGCGGCACCUCAGGACCCAGAGUGCGCUGUCCUGGCCCCUCUGCAGUAGGACUGACGGGAAGCUGUCGAGGGGGCAGUCCCGCGAUGGCAGCAGGGCCCCCACGCCUGGCGUCCUCAUCGCGCCCACCCAGCAGGGCUCACCAGCCUCCCUAGGAAGCAGGCAGGGGUCCUGGGCUCAAACGCUGCCCCACCCAUCAUCGCCCAGGCAACCAGCUCCCUAAGGGCUCCCCGGACUAGACAGAGACCCACCCCACUUCCGCAGAGUAAAACCUAUAAGGGGGUCCGUGCCGAUCUCUCCUAGGGACU
rnacentral:lncRNA from 1 species